AACGGAAAGAGAUGAAAGAGCUUGCUCUUUUAUUAAUUUCAGUGGCAAACGGGUGAGUAACACGUAAACAACCUGCCUUAAGGAUGGGGAUAACAGACGGAAACGACUGCUAAUACCGAAUACGUUCUAAGCAUCGCAUGGUGCAUAGAAGAAAGGGUGGCCUCUACAAGAAAGCUAUCGCCUUAAGAGGGGUUUGCGACUGAUUAGGUAGUUGGUGAGGUAACGGCUCACCAAGCCGACGAUCAGUAGCCGGUCUGAGAGGAUGAACGGCCACACUGGAACUGAGACACGGUCCAGACUCCUACGGGAGGCAGCAGUGGGGAAUCUUCCGCAAUGGACGAAAGUCUGACGGAGCAACGCCGCGUGAACGAAGAAGGUCUUCGGAUUGUAAAGUUCUGUGAUUCGGGACGAAAGGGUUUGUGGUGAAUAAUUAUAGACAUUGACGGUACCGAAAAAGCAAGCCACGGCUAACUACGUGCCAGCAGCCGCGGUAAUACGUAGGUGGCAAGCGUUGUCCGGAAUUAUUGGGCGUAAAGCGCGCGCAGGCGGUUUCUUAAGUCCAUCUUAAAAGCGUGGGGCUCAACCCCAUGGGGGGAUGGAAACUGGGAAGCUGGAGUAUCGGAGAGGAAAGUGGAAUUCCUAGUGUAGCGGUGAAAUGCGUAGAGAUUAGGAAGAACACCGGUGGCGAAGGCGACUUUCUAGACGAAAACUGACGCUGAGGCGCGAAAGCGUGGGGAGCAAACAGGAUUAGAUACCCUGGUAGUCCACGCCGUAAACGAUGGAUACUAGGUGUAGGAGGUAUCGACCCCUCCUGU
rnacentral:rRNA from 1 species